UAUAUCAUACUAACCUUUGGUAAACUGCAAAUGUCGCAGACCGUCUUCUCUGUGCCAAAUAUAUUUUUCCAUUGACCUCAAGCAUUGCACGUGGACAGGAGGAGCGGGCGAAUCAGCCAUCAGUGAGUGUGCAUGUAACUCCGCGUUUACAUGCGGACACAUCUGAUUCGCAUAGAUGUGGAAGAACAGUCCAAUCGGAAUAGAAAAGUAUCAUAUAUAUAUACGCCUCAAUCGGUUCGGAAUAGAAUUCUAUGCGGAAUAGAAUAGGUGGUGUAGUCCGCUAUAAAUACUUAUUCCGAUUAGUUUGGGGUUUAACUUGAAGCAGCUGCAAACUUUACCGCUGUCAAGGAAAUUGGAUUUAUUGCCUGAUUCACGUCUUUGUUAUUAUCACUCCGUAGUAGUUUCAGUAGUCCGGUAACUUAUCAACCCCAGCAUGUCCGGUUGCUAAGCGACGGGUGACGGUGGGUUCAUGUGUUAGCAUCGCCGCUCUCGCUGUGUGUGUGUGUGUGUGUGUGUGUGUUUGUGUACGAGAAUGACGGGGAGAACGAGUGCUAUGCGGAGAUGAAUGGACGGAACGAUUUUUAGAUUUCCAAAUCGCGUUAUAAAAAAAACAAAAAAACAAUCAAUUCGUGGUGCUCGAUGUUGAUUCUGUGGCGCCGCGCC